AUUUACUCCCCAGCCGCAGAGCGCCAGGCAGAGGGAGUCUAUUAAAGGGACAGUGUCCCGCCGGGAGCGGGGCGGGGCGCGGACCCCGGCGUGCCGCCCGCCCAGCCUUGCGCCCCGCUCGCCGGCGCUGCGACGCGCCCCCCGGGCCUCGGGGACGCCCCUCGGGGGAGCGCUGCGGAAGGACGCGCUGGGGGCAGGGGGAUGGAAGGAGGAGCCCCGGGCGCCAGAGUGUAUAGGCUGGUUAUCAACAGAGAAGACUUUGGCUAGCACCCCAGUGGGGCGCCUAAUGCAGCGGUGCCCAGAUGCCAUCCCGGGUGUGCCGUGACACUGAGAAACGCUGAGUCACGCAGUGAAAGUGUCAUCAUCCCCUUUCAAUCCAGGAAAGUGUCUGUUCGCUGCUCGUGUGGCUUUUGUGCCCAUCAGUGGCCAACUUUUAUUUUCAACCAAGAAACCGGAGAUUUCUGGCUCAGAAGCUGGGGAGGGGCAAGGGUACCUGGUUUGACUUUGAAAACAUGGUCUGUUUUCAUGGAAUUCGCUUUCAGUUUACCUGUGUCUUAGAGAGAGAGACUGCUCUGCACUUACGAUAGCAACCUAAAUUUUAAUAAAACUUAUGGGUCUAAAACGUAUCUUUAAG
ensembl:lncRNA